rnacentral:rRNA from 1 species
AACGAACGCUGGCGGCAGGCUUAACACAUGCAAGUCGAGCGCCCCGCAAGGGGAGCGGCAGACGGGUGAGUAACGCGUGGGAACGUACCUUUCAGUUCGGAAUAACUCAGGGAAACUUGAGCUAAUACCGGAUACGUCCGUGAGGAGAAAGAUUUAUCGCUGAAAGAUCGGCCCGCGUUGGAUUAGCUAGUUGGUGGGGUAAAGGCCUACCAAGGCGACGAUCCAUAGCUGGUCUGAGAGGAUGAUCAGCCACACUGGGACUGAGACACGGCCCAGACUCCUACGGGAGGCAGCAGUGGGGAAUAUUGGACAAUGGGCGAAAGCCUGAUCCAGCCAUGCCGCGUGAGUGAUGAAGGCCCUAGGGUUGUAAAGCUCUUUCAGUGGGGAAGAUAAUGACGGUACCCACAGAAGAAGCCCCGGCUAACUUCGUG